rnacentral:rRNA from 1 species
UACGAAGGGGGCUAGCGUUGUUCGGAAUUACUGGGCGUAAAGCGUGCGCAGGCGGCUUCUCAAGUCAGGGGUGAAAGCCCAGAGCUCAACUCUGGAAUUGCCUUUGAGACUGAGAGGCUUGAGUACGAGAGAGGUGAGUGGAAUUCCCAGUGUAGAGGUGAAAUUCGUAGAUAUUCGCAAGAACACCAGUGGCGAAGGCGGCUCACUGGCCCGGUACUGACGCUGAGGCACGAAAGCGUGGGGAGCAAACAGG